GCCUAUGUAAAAAAAAACAACCCCACCUUUCGAUAAAAAGCGAGACUACAAAUAUUCUUGGACAGUGAACUCAAGAACAGAAAUUGAAGAAAUCCAAACAGAAGAUAACCAGAUAUCAGCACCAAACUAUGAUUUCAUUCCGUUUAGCGACCUGCAUACACCUAAAGAAUUCAGCAAACCAAUAGAUAUUUUGGCUAUUGCUCUCAAAAUGAACCCACCAAAAGAAGUCAACACUCCCUAUGGACUACAUACAAUUCAAGAGAUAUAUUUAAUUGAUGAAAGUUGUAGCUUCAAACCAGUAUGUUUGACGAUGUGGGGGCAUAAAGUCUACGAUGAAUGCUUACAAAUAGCAGAAGUAAUCGAAGACAGACC